rnacentral:tRNA from 1 species
GGAGAGGUGCCGGAGUGGUCGAACGGGCCGGUUUCGAAAACCGGUGUGGGUUCGAAUCCCACCCUCUCCGCCA